CCGCCACCAGGAUUCCACCAUGGUGACAACAGGCUGCUAAAGCUGGGUAGCAGCUCUGACUUCUGGAUGCUCCUUGGGCCCCAUCCGUCAAAGUUUCUAACACAGCCCAGCCCAGCAAUGUGCAGACCAUGACUCAUUUACUACUACUCAAUGCUCGAGUCACACUUCUCCACAGACCUGUUUAUGCCACCACCCAGGCUCCGCCUUGCAUGUGCGGUCUCUCUGCCAAAACAGCUUCCUUUGCCCCGGUGCAGCCGCACCACUAAUUCCAUCAAGCACAAGCGGCCGGAGCCCUCAGCCUGAAGGGACAGACCUGGAGAUCUCAGUCUACUGCGUAGGUGCCCAGACUUCCCCAAGGUCCCCACCUCGGUGAUGUUUUUGGUGACUUUUGCUUCCACAUCGUAUCUCUCUUCAUCCACUUUGUCCACCCGAGCAUGGAGCUGCCGGCAUAAGUCCUGAUGAAGAAAUGCAUGUGUGUUGAGAGGGAGACUGGAGACUGGGUUCCCUGGCCUGAGGGAGGAGGUCUUGGAUCUAGGUCCCUGGGUCUGAGGGAGGAGGCCUGGGCUCCACAUCCCUGAGUUUGAGAGAGAAGUGCUGAGAUCUGGACUCCUGAACCUGAGGAAAGAGGGGCUGAAAGGAAGCGAGACUGGAAUCCGGACUCCAGGAAACUUAAAGAAAUGUGGCUAGGAACCAAGAAUCCUGAGACUUGGCAGGCAACGGCUGGAGCAACACACUGGGUUUUUGAUGUUGUAGGACUGUCUGUAUUGCUUGGCAUAAGGACUGCAGAUCCCGAGCUGGACGGGAGACUGUGCUUUAUGCUCCUGAUACCCAAGGUUGGCCAGACCAGAGACGGGCCCCAGGCUCGGCUCGGCCCCAGGCUCGGCAAGAAUCCCUGCUUUGUGAGCUGGUACCUGAAGCUCUUCAAAGCCCAGCCCAUCCAGCUCCAAAGGCUGACAACGAGUGCUCAGAACGCGCCCUUUCUCUCCACGCCGCUCCUCUGCCUCACGUUCCAUCUCCUGCUUUGCAAUCUGCAGCAUCAGAGUCUGCGGAAUGGGUGAAGCAGACAACAGCGUCCCCCAAAAGCAUAGGAAUGAAAAACUUCCCUCCAUCUUCCAGAGAGACAGAACAUCCAAGUUGGUGUCUUUUACUCAAAAA